CACGUAGGGUGCGAGCGUUUGUCCGGAAUUAUUGGGCGUAAAGAGCUCGUAGGCGGUGUGUCGCGUCGGCCGUGAAAACCUGCAGCUUAACUGUGGGCUUGCGGUCGAUACGGGCAUCACUGGAGUUCGGCAGGGGAGACUGGAAUUCCUGGUGUAGCGGUGAAAUGCGCAGAUAUCAGGAGGAACACCGGUGGCGAAGGCGGGUCUCUGGGGCCGAUACUGACGCUGAGGAGCGAAAACGUGGGGAGCGAACAGG
rnacentral:rRNA from 1 species